rnacentral:tRNA from 1 species
UUAAUUGAAGCCAAAGUUAGAGGCAUAUUACUGUUAAUAAUAUAAUUGAAAUAUAAAGUUCCAAUUAAG